rnacentral:piRNA from 1 species
UCCAAAAAGUGGGUGAGGUAGG